GUUAAAUUGUAAAACAGAGGAAUACAUUUAUUUCCAAAGGAAAGUAAACGUAGAAAGCAAUGGGAAUCUGCGUUACGUAUAAAAACUUCGAAGCUAGUAGCACAGCACGAUUGUGUGUUGCGCAUUUUACAGAAAAAGAUUAUUACGGGAAAAUCAAUUAUACAGGUUAUGAGCUCCUUGCAAAAUUUCUUAAAAAGACAGCUGUGCUAUCUGUGUUCUUCUUAACGAAGAUAAAACCAGAAAAUCCAGCUGCUGUGGCACAUCAACAACGUAUUGAACGAAGAAGUCAGUCGAGUAACAAAUGUAGAUAAUUCACAACCAUCAAGUAGCAAAGUUAACCUAAUAAGUGACAGAGACAAUUUACUGGAAGUUGAUCAUGAAGAAGCAGUCAAAACAGAAGACAACAGUGCAGUAGGAUGUACAUAUAUUAUGCAUGAAUUUAUAUCUAAGGGCACUCAAGUUGAUCAAGAACACAAAUAUGGGUUUAUGAAUAGAUAUAAAGAUGAUAAUGCCACUAUUAAGUUUUACACAGGUUUUGAAUCAUAUAAAAAUUUAAUUUAGUCUACUCAGCUCUUAGUCCAGUGGUUCACAAAAUAAAAUAUUAUGGCAGCAAUGUGAUUAUUCUUAGCAGUGAUUCUAAUUCUAAUUUAUUAGUUGGUGCAAUACCUGGUAGCUUGCUGUUAUAUUGUUCCCAAGCAUUUGCAGGAUUGAUAAGUGAUCAGUAGGCAGUGGAACAAAGUGACCUUUUAGCAAAAUGUGAAAGUGGUAGUAGUAUACUGACUGACAGAGGAUUUAUGAUACAAUAUAUAUUUCAUCAGACAAAAAUGUGACCAUUAGGAUUCCCAGUUUCUUAAAAGAAAAAUUUCAGUUGCCUGGUCUUAAUGUAAUAAAAGAUAGGGAGCUUGCAAACAAAGGAGUUCAUAUAGAAAGAAUAAUAGGAUUAACAAAGACAAACAAAAUGAAUUAGACCAUAACUAUAUCCCAAUAGUGAGCAAAAUCUUUUUUUAUGUUUUAUGUGCUAAACAUCUACAAUUUCAGGAAUUAUACUAUUACUAUAUUGUGAAAGAUAUUAGAUAAAAAGAUGUAAUUAUUUCAAUUUAUUUAUUAAUUGUAAAUAGUUCUUAUACACAUACUUAUUUACAUUUCUGGUUCUAAAUUAUGUACAUAAAAGUUUAACAAAUUUGUCAACAUGCCAUUAAUAAAUGAGUCAUCUCUA
rnacentral:lncRNA from 1 species